rnacentral:rRNA from 1 species
UACAGAGGGGGCAAGCGUUAUUCGGAAUUAUUGGGCGUAAAGGGCGCGUAGGCGGCUUGGCAAGUGGAUGGUGAAAUCCCCGGGCUCAACCCGGGAACUGCGUCCGAUACUGGAAGGCUUGAAUCCGGGAGAGGGAUGCGGAAUUCCAGGUGUAGCGGUGAAAUGCGUAGAUAUCUGGAGGAACACCGGUGGCGAAGGCGGGUCUCUGGGCAAUUCCUGACGCUGAGGCGCGAAAGCGUGGGGAGCAAACGGG